rnacentral:lncRNA from 1 species
AAUCUGCCUGCUUCUGCCUCCCAAGUGCUAGGAUUAAAGGCGUAGGCCACCACUACCCGGCUACACUUUCCUUUUUAAAACAGGACUCACUGAACCUGGAGUUCAUCUGUUCAGGAGGCCAGCUGGGUAGCCAGCAAGCCCCAAGGAUCACUCUCUCUCUCCCUCCACAGUGUUGAUUAGAUAGGCACACAGUGCUAUGCCAACUUUUUACAUGUGCACUGGAGAAUUCAAGCUCCAGUCCUCAUUGUCCAUGUUUGGCAAGCACUUUAGGACUGCUCUGUCUCCCUGCCUUUCCAAAAGGGUGUGGGUUAAGGCUUUAAUUGUUUCCUCCUCCUCCUCUUCCUUUUUGUACUCCAUAUUAACAUGAAAAUCUAUAGCAUUCUGCCUCCUCUUUUGUUUAUGGAAUACCCUCUUAGGUACCUUGGUCCCUAAAGCUAGUAGAAUUCUAAGAUCAGAUCAUAGAAGUGGGAUGUGUGGACUAUAAUUGACGAAUUGACAGUAUGUAUCAUUUUAAAACCUGAUAAUAUGCUAAUAGUAUCUGUAUCACAAAAGCAGUCAGCCAGAUUCAGAAUAUGAGAAAUUGUAUUUAAUGAGUAGAUUCUCCAAAACAUGAAUGGCACAGUGUAGAAGAAUGAUUUAUAGAUUAAAAAGAGCCAUGGCAAUCAAAUGCAGCAUGUAGGUUUGGCGCCUACAGUGGACAGAACAACUAUAAAAAGACACUUGUGAGAUAAUGAGAACUGGGUAGUUAGUGUACAUCUGUAGUCCCAGUAUUCAACGUAGCAAGAUAGAGGGAUCAGUUAUACCUACUAACCUAGACAGCAUAAUGAGACACUGCCUCAAAAACAAAUGAGAGUCACAGUAAUUGAGGGAAUUUGAAAUACAUGGCUUUAAAAAACAUUAAAGAAAUUCUAAUUUUCUUAGAUCUACUUAAGAUAUUGUUGUUAUGAGAAGCCCUCAGGUAAAGAUAACCUGUUGGAGUAUUUACAGGUGAGAUGAAAUGGUCUGGAUUUCACACACACACACACACACACACACACACACACAGGAAAGAAAAAAAGAAAAGCUUGGAAAACAGUACUGUUGCUAAAAAGUAUGUGAAGAGCCACUUACUAUUUUCACAGCUUUUAUUCUAUAAAGAAAAACAUUUGAAAGGUUGAGUUGUGUACUCAAGAGUCAGAGACAAGAUCACAGGUUCAAGACCUGCCUAGACAUCAUAGGCCCUUGUCAGAAAAAACAGUGCCAGGGCUUACAGCUUUAUGGUAGAGAGUUCGCUGCACACUCAUGGGCCUUUGGCUUGACCCAGGGCUUUCUCCCACUCCCCCAAGAAAUGUUGGUAUUUUCAGAGCUGGCUUUGGAGGGAGUAUCUUCUGUUCUAGAGGCAGUCCUGGGAUUCCCUGGAUAUGGAUAAGCACCAUUGAUUACCACAGUAAUUAUGUCACCUUCUGAGCUCCCAUCUCAGUGUUCUCUUCCAUUCCUCACCAAGUCUUUCCUCAGUGAGCCCACAUGCUUUUCCUCUCAUUGGCAUGCUGAUGGCUUCGAGGUUUCAUAAUUUUUUCUUUUUUCUUGAAAAUAGGUUCUUUUCUUAUUCACUAUAUCCUAUUAUCACCUUUACUAAUGGAGAAGCAUAAGGGGAGGAGGAUAGUCCUGGAGGUCUGGAACCUUACAAAAGUCAUGUCUUUGUUUUAAUAAUAAGGGGAGUGCUAUUUCAGGUAGCCUGUAAUGACCUAUCAGGACAUUACAAUGUUGCUAUUUAAGGCAUAUUACCCUAUAUCCUUUUGGAUCAUGGAUGGUUUCCAUUUUGCUCCUGGUAAUUAAAACAUUUCUGGACUACCAAGAACUUUGCACAAAUUCUAACAAGGUUCCACCUUUAUGCCCUGAGUCAUAAUGGCUUCGUUGGAGAAGAGCAAGCUGGCAUUCAGUUCUCACUACGCUUGCUCUUUUGGCCUGAUGCAUUUAUGCACAGUAUACACCUGACAAACUUGUUAACUGAGAAUAAAUCAACUCCUAUGCACUUUAGUUUUGGGCAUUAGUUUUUGAAUAGAAUGUAUCUCUUCACAGUAUAUGAAAUUUUUAAAUGUUCACUGUUGGAAUUAUAAUCACUGUUAAAUGUUAAACAAAAUAUUGUUUUAAUUGGGUUUUAUAAGUUUUAUAAAAUCUUAUUGGUUUGGUUUGGAUUUUUGUUUGUUUGUUUUUAGAGACAGGAUUUUUUUCUGUGUAGAUCUGACUGCCCUUGAAGACACUCCAUAGAUCAGGAUGGCCUCAAACUCAGAGACUCGCCUGCCUCUGCCUCUCAAGUGCUGUUAUUAAUGGUGUUUGCCACCACCACCUGACUAGAGCCCUUAAUUACAAAUGAAGGCAAAACCACAUAACAUAUAACAUAUGAAGGCACGUACAUGGGACAUUUUGCCUGGACAAUAAUAGUUCAAUGGUUGGUUAGUAAGAAAUAUUUUCUUAUGGGGGCCGGGCAGACAAAAAGAA